rnacentral:rRNA from 1 species
AUUGAACGCUGGCGGCAGGCCUAACACAUGCAAGUCGAGCGGCAGCGGAAAGUAGCUUGCUACUUUGCCGGCGAGCGGCGGACGGGUGAGUAAUGUCUGGGAAACUGCCUGAUGGAGGGGGAUAACUACUGGAAACGGUAGCUAAUACCGCAUAACGUCGCAAGACCAAAAAGGGGGCCCUUCGGGCCUCUUGCCAUAAGAUGUGCCCAGAUGGGAUUAGCUAGUAGGUGGGGUAACGGCUCACCUAGGCGACGAUCCCUAGCUGGUCGGAGAGGAUGACCAGCCACACUGGAACUGAGACACGGUCCAGACGCCUACGGGAGGCAGCAGUGGGGAAUAUUGCACAAUGGGCGCAAGCCUGAUGCAGCCAUGCCGCGUGUAUGAAGAAGGCCUUCGGGUUGUAAAGUACUUUCAGCGGGGAGGAAGGUGUUGUGGUUAAUAACCACAGCAAUCGACGUUACCCGCAGAAGGAGCACCGGCUAACUCCGUGCCAGCCGCCGCCGUAA